GACGUAGGGUCCAAGCGUUAUCCGGAUUUACUGGGCGUAAAGCGCGCGUAGGCGGUCUGUUAAGUGCACAAGUGAAAGCUCCGGGCUCAACUCGGAAAUUGCUUUGCAUACUGGCAGGCUGGAGGGACGCAGAGGUCUGUGGAAUUCCUGGUGUAACGGUGAAAUGUGUUGAUAUCAGGAGGAACACCCAUGGCGAAGGCAGCAGACUGGGCGUUUCCUGACGCUGAGGCGCGAAAGCGUGGGUAGCAAA
rnacentral:rRNA from 1 species